CGUACCUUUUGUAUAAUGGGUCAGCGACUUAUAUUCUGUAGCAAGGUUAACCGAAUAGGGGAGCCGGAGGGAAACCGAGUCUUAACCGGGCGUUAAGUUGCAGGGUAUAGACCCGAAACCCGGUGAUCUAGCCAUGGGCAGGUUGAAGGUUGGGUAACACUAACUGGAGGACCGAACCGACUAAUGUUGAAAAAUUAGCGGAUGACCUGUGGCUGGGGGUGAAAGGCCAAUCAAACCGGGAGAUAGCUGGUUCUCCCCGAAAGCUAUUUAGGUAGCGCCUCGUGAAUUCAUCUCCGGGGGUAGAGCACUGUUUCGGCUAGGGGGCCAUCCCGGCUUACCAACCCGAUGCAAACUGCGAAUACCGGAGAAUGUUAUCACGGGAGACACACGGCGGGUGCUAACGUCCGUCGUGAAGAGGGAAACAACCCAGACCGCCAGCUAAGGUCCCAAAGUCAUGGUUAAGUGGGAAACGAUGUGGGAAGGCCCAGACAGCCAGGAUGUUGGCUUAGAAGCAGCCAUCAUUUAAAGAAAGCGUAAUAGCUCACUGGUCGAGUCGGCCUGCGCGGAAGAUGUAACGGGGCUAAACCAUGCACCGAAGCUGCGGCAGCGACACUGUGUGUUGUUGGGUAGGGGAGCGUUCUGUAAGCCUGUGAAGGUGUGUCGUGAGGCAUGCUGGAGGUAUCAGAAGUGCGAAUGCUGACAUAAGUAACGAUAAAGCGGGUGAAAAGCCCGCUCGCCGGAAGACCAAGGGUUCCUGUCCAACGUUAAUCGGGGCAGGGUGAGUCGACCCCUAAGGCGAGGCCGAAAGGCGUAGUCGAUGGGAAACGGGUUAAUAUUCCCGUACUUGGUGUUACUGCGAAGGGGGGACGGAGAAGGCUAUGUUGGCCGGGCGACGGUUGUCCCGGUUUAAGCGUGUAGGUGUGUGUUCCAGGUAAAUCCGGUUCACUUUAACACUGAGGCGUGACGACGAGGCACUACGGUGCUGAAGCAACAAAUGCCCUGCUUCCAGGAAAAGCCUCUAAGCAUCAGGUAACAUCAAAUCGUACCCCAAACCGACACAGGUGGUCAGGUAGAGAAUACCAAGGCGCUUGAGAGAACUCGGGUGAAGGAACUAGGCAAAAUGGUGCCGUAACUUCGGGAGAAGGCACGCUGACACGUAGGUGAAGUGAUUUACUCAUGGAGCUGAAGUCAGUCGAAGAUACCAGCUGGCUGCAACUGUUUAUUAAAAACACAGCACUGUGCAAACACGAAAGUGGACGUAUACGGUGUGACGCCUGCCCGGUGCCGGAAGGUUAAUUGAUGGGGUCAGCGCAAGCGAAGCUCCUGAUCGAAGCCCCGGUAAACGGCGGCCGUAACUAUAACGGUCCUAAGGUAGCGAAAUUCCUUGUCGGGUAAGUUCCGACCUGCACGAAUGGCGUAAUGAUGGCCAGGCUGUCUCCACCCGAGACUCAGUGAAAUUGAACUCGCUGUGAAGAUGCAGUGUACCCGCGGCAAGACGGAAAGACCCCGUGAACCUUUACUAUAGCUUGACACUGAACAUUGAGCCUUGAUGUGUAGGAUAGGUGGGAGGCUUUGAAGUGUGGACGCCAGUCUGCAUGGAGCCGACCUUGAAAUACCACCCUUUAAUGUUUGAUGUUCUAACGUGGACCCGUUACCCGGGUUGCGGACAGUGUCUGGUGGGUAGUUUGACUGGGGCGGUCUCCUCCUAAAGAGUAACGGAGGAGCACGAAGGUUGGCUAAUCCUGGUCGGACAUCAGGAGGUUAGUGCAAUGGCAUAAGCCAGCUUGACUGCGAGCGUGACGGCGCGAGCAGGUGCGAAAGCAGGUCAUAGUGAUCCGGUGGUUCUGAAUGGAAGGGCCAUCGCUCAACGGAUAAAAGGUACUCCGGGGAUAACAGGCUGAUACCGCCCAAGAGUUCAUAUCGACGGCGGUGUUUGGCACCUCGAUGUCGGCUCAUCACAUCCUGGGGCUGAAGUAGGUCCCAAGGGUAUGGCUGUUCGCCAUUUAAAGUGGUACGCGAGCUGGGUUUAGAACGUCGUGAGACAGUUCGGUCCCUAUCUGCCGUGGGCGCUGGAGAACUGAGGGGGGCUGCUCCUAGUACGAGAGGACCGGAGUGGACGCAUCACUGGUGUUCGGGUUGUCAUGCCAAUGGCACUGCCCGGUAGCUAAAUGCGGAAGAGAUAAGUGCUGAAAGCAUCUAAGCACGAAACUUGCCCCGAGAUGAGUUCUCCCUGAGACUUAGAGUCUCCUGAAGGAACGUUGAAGACGACGACGUUGAUAGGCCGGGUGUGUAAGCGCAGCGAUGCGUUGAGCUAACCGGUACUAAUGAACCGUGAGGCUUAACCUUACAACGCCGAAG
rnacentral:rRNA from 1 species